rnacentral:pre_miRNA from 1 species
CUGGGCAAGUAACCAAUGGCUGUCACUCUUUCCUUAACUCAUGCCGCUGUGCAUUCUCUUCUUUCGCAACAGGGUGGGUUGAGUACAAAGUGCCGGUCUAAUCCAG